CCUACGGGCGGCUGCAGUGGGGAAUAUUGGACAAUGGGGGCAACCCUGAUCCAGCCAUGCCGCGUGUGUGAAGAAGGCCCUCGGGUUGUAAAGCACUUUCAGUGAGGAAGAACGCCUGGUGGUUAAUACCCAUCAGGAAAGACAUCACUCACAGAAGAAGCACCGGCUAACUCCGUGCCAGCAGCCGCGGUAAUACGGAGGGUGCGAGCGUUAAUCGGAAUUACUGGGCGUAAAGCGCGCGUAGGUGGCUUGAUAAGCCGGUUGUGAAAGACCCGGGCUCAACCUGGGAACGGCAUCCGGAACUGUCAAGCUAGAGUGCAGGAGAGGAAGGUAGAAUUCCCGGUGUAGCGGUGAAAUGCGUAGAGAUCGGGAGGAAUACCAGUGGCGAAGGCGGCCUUCUGGACUGACACUGACACUGAGGUGCGAAAGCGUGGGUAGCAAACAGGAUUAGAUACCCUGGUAGUC
rnacentral:rRNA from 1 species